CUGGCUCAGGAUGAACGCUGGCGGCGUGCCUAAUACAUGCAAGUCGAACGAGGUAGCAAUACCGAGUGGCGAACGGGUGAGUAACACGUAGGUAACCUGCCCUUAAGCUUGGGAUACCCAGAGGAAACUUUGGCUAAUACCGGAUAACAACAGAGAAGGCAUCUCUUUGCUUGAAAGGCCCCUUCAAGGGUCACUUAAGGAUGGACCUGCGGCGCAUUAGCUAGUUGGUGAGAUAACAGCCCACCAAGGCGAGGAUGCGUAGCCGAACUGAGAGGUUGAUCGGCCACAUUGGAACUGAGACACGGUCCAAACUCCUACGGGAGGCAGCAGUAAGGAGUUUUCGGCAAUGGGGGGAAACCCUGACCGAGCAACGCCGCGUGAGCGAUGACGGCCCUAUGGGGUUGUAAAGCUCUGUUGUAAGCCAUGAAUGGUAGCUUGAGGAAAUGCAAGCUAUUUGACGACAGCUUACCAGAAAGCCACGGCUAACUACGUGCCAGCAGCGGC
rnacentral:rRNA from 1 species